AUUUCCAGAAGGGUCAUCUGACCGCAGGUAGUGUGCCACGUCAGAAAAAGUGAAAUCCUCUCGCUGGCACAAAGCGAAAGGAACUCCUUGCCCGCAUUCGAAAGAAGCAAGAGCAGAAGAAAUCUUCUUCACCCGCUUCAGCUCAGCCUUGCUUAGGGCACAAGGAACAUCUAGGUGUACACGGCGAGCAUUGGCCCACCUCUCGCGGCUCCCG
rnacentral:lncRNA from 1 species